GUUGAAGGCAAGCCUUGGUGGUUAUGGCGCUCCUGUGCUGAGGGAAACUUCGGUACUUCUAUUUCUGGCUUUGAGAAGAGCACGGAUAAAGUAGAGCUCCAGAAGUGUUGCGAGGCAUUAGAGGCCUCUCUGGUGUGAGUGCAGAGAUCCCAUUUACAUUGAUUUCGCGUGAGAUCACAAGGGUCACCCCUUGGCGCAAAGCACUCUUGAUCUGAAAGCCCUGACACCGUGGGAUGAAUGAAAUAAGCAAGGAGAGUGACCUUACUUGGAGUGAGACAACAUGCAGCCUUUCAGAUGGACCUUCUCUCACUUUUUCAUUGUUGUCUUACUGUUUGUUCCUUGGAGUUGGUGCAGAUUGAAGUUAGAGUAACAACAAAAGCUUCUCCCACCUUCCAUCUCCUGACAUGUGCUGAUCUUUCUGAUACAGGAAAUACUAUUAAAAGCCAAAUUCCCCAUCAUUCAUCAUCACACACAG